CUGAAAUCCUGGUUUGUGGGCCACAGUUUGAAUAACACUUAGCUAGAUAUUUGAAGUUAUAAGUUGAGGCUAUAGAAAUGGAUAAGAUCUUUGAGGAUUAGUGUGUGUGUGUGUACAUUUGUGUGUAUGGACCUGGAAAUGGAACAGCCUAGGAAAUAAAAGUUAUCAGUAUCAACUGCUCAAAACUAAGCUAGUUUUGAGGAGAGGGUGGUUUAUUGGGUCCAUCGUGAGUGUUGAGAAAAAUUGGAAAUCCAGAGGGCAUUUGGGGUGAUCUGCUGGAACUUUUGCCUUCUGUCUUGGACUGGAUUUUCUUCUUUAUCUUAGAAGAUAUCUCCUGACAUGGUGUUAAGCUCUUUUCUUUUGCUUGACUACAUACUCUGUUUAGGUAAUUUCAUCCAGUUCUUUGGAAUUAAAUAUCAUCUGUGUGUGUUCAGUCUCUAGUCAUUUCAUGUCUGAACUCCAGAAUCAUAAAUUCAGCUGCCUACUUAUCAUUUCUACUUAGAUGUCUGAUAGGUAUUUCAAACAGGGGAACAAUUAGGAAGUCACUGCAGUAACCCAAACCAUAGUUAAUGAUAGCUUGCACUAGAUAGAAUAUCAUUGGAGCUGGAGUGAAGUAGAUGAGAGAGUUUGGAAAUACAGUAGAAGCAAACAAAAACAAAAACAAACAAAAAAAAUCUUUAUGAUGGAUUAGGAAAAGGGAAGAAAUAGAUGACAACUGGAUCUCCAGUUUUUGACUUUAGCACUAUGACAAUGGUUGUGUCAUGUUCUGAGAGGAAGGACCAGGUUCUAAGAGAAGAAAGGGGAAAGGCAGAUCAAGAGUUUUCUUAUCCCUGUCUCAGUAGAUGACACCUUCACCACAGCUUUUGAACACAGACAUUUCUGACAAUCAAGCCACUUUCUGUUGCAUUUCUGAAAUUAAAUUUCUGUUGCCUGGAUAACUGUAAUGGCCUUUUAACUGGUUUCUUUGCUUCUGCU
rnacentral:lncRNA from 1 species